UACGUAGGGGGCAAGCGUUGUCCGGAAUCAUUGGGCGUAAAGAGCGUGUAGGCGGCCAGAUAAGUCCGUUGUGAAAGUCAAAGGCUCAACCUUUGAAAGCCGAUGGAUACUGCCGGGCUAGAGUCCGGAAGAGGCGAGUGGAAUUCCUGGUGUAGCGGUGGAAUGCGCAGAUAUCAGGAGGAACACCGAUAGCGAAGGCAGCUCGCUGGGACGGUACUGACGCUGAGGCGCGAAAGCGUGGGGAGCGAACAGG
rnacentral:rRNA from 1 species